rnacentral:rRNA from 1 species
AACGAACGCUGGCGGCAGGCUUAACACAUGCAAGUCGAACGCAUCCUUCGGGGUGAGUGGCAGACGGGUGAGUAACGCGUGGGAACGUGCCCUUCAGUUCGGGAUAACCCAGGGAAACUUGGGCUAAUACCGGAUACGUGCGAGAGCAGAAAGAUUUAUCGCUGAAGGAUCGGCCCGCGUCUGAUUAGCUAGUUGGUGGGGUAAUGGCCCACCAAGGCGACGAUCAGUAGCUGGUCUGAGAGGAUGAUCAGCCACAUUGGGACUGAGACACGGCCCAAACUCCUACGGGAGGCAGCAGUGGGGAAUAUCGGACAAUGGGCGCAAGCCUGAUCCAGCCAUGCCGCGUGAGUGAUGAAGGCCUUAGGGUUGUAAAGCUCUUUCGUCCGGGACGAUAAUGACGGUACCGGAAGAAGAAACCCCGGCUAACUUCGUGCCAGCAGCCGCAGUAA